rnacentral:lncRNA from 1 species
AACAGUAGCAAACUCAUUCAUUAAAGACAAACAUGAUUAGAAUUAUACAAUGGGGAAGAGUACUUAUAAGUGUUAUUACUCUUUGCUGGACAUACAUUAGAAAAGAAAUAAAAAAUAUUUCUAGAAACUAAAAAUUGGCUACAUGUCUUCUUCACAUGUUAUCAUUGCGGAAAAGAUCAUGCAUGUUAUUCAUGGCGUUGUUGAGAUCAUUAUUUUGUCGGGUCCAUUCUGAU